rnacentral:rRNA from 1 species
UACGAAGGGGGCUAGCGUUGUUCGGAAUCACUGGGCGUAAAGGGCGCGUAGGCGGCUUUAUAAGUCGGGGGUGAAAGCCUGUGGCUCAACCACAGAAUUGCCUUCGAUACUGUAGAGCUUGAGACCGGAAGAGGUAAGUGGAACUGCGAGUGUAGAGGUGAAAUUCGUAGAUAUUCGCAAGAACGCCAGUGGCGAAGGCGGCUUACUGGUCCGGUUCUGACGCUGAGGCGCGAAAGCGUGGGGAGCAAACAGG